AUCCUUUUGUAGAUAAUAAGCAUGACUAUUGGGAUUUCAACCUGGUGUGAGGAUGUGCCUCCCUCAGACCUUAUUAUGAUGUAGGCGGUUAUCCUUAUUACA
rnacentral:snoRNA from 1 species